UGUAACACCCUUCUAAAAUACCCCAAGUAUUUGAUUAAAAUAAUAAAAUAUCAAUCAGAGUAAUUAUGCCCUGAAGGGUGUCACACAAUCAUUUCACACCAAUCAUCAAUAUAUCCUGUCAUGCUCAUUUAUUCAAUCAAAAUAGGACACCUUUGCAUAAUUCGCAGCGGAUACAAAAUAACAACAUUCAAAUCAUGUACUACAUUACAUGUAAAGUUGUUCAACAACCAAAAGAAAACAUAGUAAAACAUCC
rnacentral:lncRNA from 1 species